UGGGGAAUUUUGGACAAUGGGCGAAAGCCUGAUCCAGCCAUGCCGCGUGAGUGAAGAAGGCCUUCGGGUUGUAAAGCUCUUUUAGUCGGAAAGAAAGAGUUGCAAUGAAUAAUUGUGAUUUAUGACGGUACCGACAGAAAAAGCACCGGCUAACUACGUGCCAGCAGCCGCGGUAAUACGUAGGGUGCGAGCGUUAAUCGGAAUUACUGGGCGUGAAGGGUGCGCAGGCGGUCUUGCAAGUCAGAUGUGAAAGCCCCGGGUUUAACCUGGGAAUUGCGUUUGAAACUACAAGGCUAGAGUGCAGCAGAGGGGAGUGGAAUUCCAUGUGUAGCAGUGAAAUGCGUAGAGAUGUGGAAGAACACCGAUGGCGAAGGCAGCUCCCUGGGUUGACACUGACGCUUAUGCACAAAAGCGUGGGGAGCAAACA
rnacentral:rRNA from 1 species